UCAAAAAUAAAAAUAAAAGGUAAAAAUAACAGCAAUAGAAAUCAUAAAAUUAAAGAGAAUAUAUAUAAAAAAAGGUAAAAACAACUAAAAAAUGACUAAAUUAAAAUUAAACUGUUUGAAAGGACUAAAUUGGCCAUCAGUUUAAAACUAAGGGACUAAAACAGAAUUAGACGCAAAAAUCCGAAUACUCAAAAUCACUCGUGGAAAACGACGCCGUUUAAACUUGGGUCCAAAUGAAAUCCGACUCAAAUAUGCGGUGCAAAUUAAAAAAAUUGACGGAAAUCAAAUUGCAACAAUCCAAAACACAGAGGGGCUUGCUGCGCAAAUAGACCAAAAAACCAAAACGCGCGGAUCCUGUCCUCAGGUCGGGUCACCGCGCGGAUCUGAACCUCCAAACGACCCCGUUUCGAAGCCAUCAUAUUGGCUUAAAUGACGACGUUUUAUCCCCGUGAUUAAAAGCUAACAGAACCCUAAUAACUAUAACUUUUCCACUAAAAAAAAUUAAAACAAAAGCUCUCUGCGCCGUUCCAGCAACAGGCCGCUCGAGAGCCCCCUCGCCUUCGCCUGUUCAACUCCGAUUAGCCCGGAGGAGAAGAAGGCUUCAUCGGCGUCGUUUUUUUUUUUUGCAUUAUGAAGGCUAAACAAAAUACCCUAAAUCGGUAGCCUCCUAAACAUUCUCAGCAGCCUUAAUAACAAAAAUAAAAAACAAAGGAACCCUAGGCCCUUCUCUCCAUCGCAACGCCGAUUCGCCCUCUCUCCAACUUCGAUUUCAACGAAGCGAGCGAGGUCCGGCGGCCUCAAACUAGAAGGCGUUUGUUGCGAGUGUAGGUACGAGUACAGUGUCAGGUGCAGUGAUGUGGAGGCUCACGUGAGCCUGGGUCAAGGUUGCAGUGGCGUACGUGCGAGGGAAGGUUGUACGGAGGCGUGACACACGCGCGGGCUUGGCUGCGGCGCUGAAGGGUUCCAGAAACCCUAGGUGUUUCUGCUCUCGGGUUGGGAUUUAGGCUGAUUGGGCUUUCUGGAUAUUGGGUUAUAGAUUAGUGGGUUUGGGUUUUAGUUGGGUAUUUUGGGUUAGUGAUUUGGGUUUGAUAUUGGGCUAUUUUUUAUUUUAGAUAUUUAGUUUAUUUUGUAACUGGGCCGCAUGGACUGUUUGUUUGGACAUUUAAUUUUGUUUUUAUAAUUAGUUUAGGGGCCGGGCAAAAUUUGGGCCCUACAGUAUUUAGGUUCUUCAGGACGACACCUCGAAAGAGGUUGAGUAUUCCUCAGAAUUGGGAGUCCUUUAGGACAUUAAAUUUUCACUUUCACAAUAGUUAUUAUACCACAUAUCAUAUGUUAUAGCA